GGAUGAGGUUUCGGGCCGACAAGGAGACCACAUUGAAUUCGAUCCUCUUUCGUUUUUGCGACCCAAAAAAAAAAAAAAAAAAGGUCCUCUGGUUGAAAAACUUCGGCAAUAUGUCGACGUCGAUGAAUUUGUGCCUAGGCACGAUCGACAUGGCGGCUCGCCGGCCACAACGGAAAACCAAGACGGCGUCGAAGACCGAACAGAGCAGCAACAGUUCCAGUUUCGCUGGCUUCGGUCGCGAGAAGAAAGAGCCUCUGUGGCGGUGCGUGGAGAAUUGCGGCGCGUGCUGCAAGUUGGACAAGGGUCCAUCCUUCGCCACUCCCGAAGAGAUCUUCGAUAACCCUGGUGACGUCGAGCUUUACAGAAGCAUGAUAGGUCCGGAUGGAUGGUGUGUACACUUUGAGAAAAGCACACGGAAAUGCUCUAUUUAUCCAGACCGUCCCUAUUUCUGUCGUGUCGAGGCGGAUGUCUUCAAGUCAUUAUACGGAAUUGAUAAGAAGAAGUUCAAUAAGGAGGCAUGUGGUUGCUGUAGAGACACCAUCAAAGCAAUAUAUGGUUCGAACUCAAAAGAGUUGCACAAUUUUAAUCAUGCCAUUAGAAGCUCCGAUCCCGACUAGGAAAAUGAACCUGGAUUGCUCGGCUUUGGAUGCUUAAGGCCAUCUGUUUCUAAAAGGAGCUGGUGUUCUAGUACAAUCUAGAAUUAUUCCACCAGUCUUGCAGGUGGGGGGAGUUUUGCCAGUAUCCUAUAUGAAUGAUCAAUUCUGCAAGGACUACGCGGGUUGGGGUGGGGGGCAUCGUCGGGUAAUCAGUCCAAGAAUGCCUCUCUGUCUCUCUGUCUCUCUCUCAUGAAUCUUCAUGCACAAUUAAAUCUGCACUGAUUUGUCUUGGAUUUGUUUCUAGUGUACUUUUUACCAAUGCGUAGUUAAGAUGGCGCUGUAGGUCCUACUAUACUAGGUUUACCUUUGCAAUGUUGCUCUGUUUGUGGAAUAUCAUCUGUAAUUCCCUACAAAUUCGGGUGGCUAAUCAUCUAGUUCUCCUGGUGCA